GAUGAACGCUGGCGGCGUGCCUAACACAUGCAAGUCGAACGGAGAUUACGGACGGAAGUUUUCGGAUGGAAGACUGUAAUUCUUAGUGGCGGACGGGUGAGUAACGCGUGGGCAACCUGCCCUAUACAGGGGGAUAGCAGCUGGAAACGGCUGGUAAGACCGCAUAAGUCGGUUAAAUCGCAUGAUUUGAUCGGGAAAUGAGCAAUCAGGUAUAGGAUGGGCCCGCGUCCGAUUAGCCAGUUGGCAGGGUAAAAGCCUACCAAAGCGACGAUCGGUAGCCGGACUGAGAGGUCGGACGGCCACAUUGGGACUGAGACACGGCCCAAACUCCUACGGGAGGCAGCAGUGGGGGAUACUGCACAAUGGAGGAAACUCUGAUGCAGCGACGCCGCGUGAGUGAAGAAGUAUUUCGGUAUGUAAAGCUCUAUCAGCAGGGAAGAUGAUGACGGUACCUGACUAAGAAGCCCCGGCUAACUACGUG
rnacentral:rRNA from 1 species